rnacentral:rRNA from 1 species
UAGAGUUUGAUCCUGGCUCAGAGUGAACGCUGGCGGUAGGCCUAACACAUGCAAGUCGAACGGCAGCACAGGAGAGCUUGCUCUCUGGGUGGCGAGUGGCGGACGGGUGAGGAAUGCAUCGGAAUCUACUCUUUCGUGGGGGAUAACGUAGGGAAACUUACGCUAAUACCGCAUACGACCUACGGGUGAAAGCCGGGGACCUUCGGGCCUGGCGCGAAUGAAUGAGCCGAUGCCCGAUUAGCUAGUUGGCGGGGUAAGAGCCCACCAAGGCGACGAUCGGUAGCUGGUCUGAGAGGAUGAUCAGCCACACUGGAACUGAGACACGGUCCAGACUCCUACGGGAGGCAGCAGUGGGGAAUAUUGGACAAUGGGCGCAAGCCUGAUCCAGCCAUACCGCGUGGGUGAAGAAGGCCUUCGGGUUGUAAAGCCCUUUUGUUGGGAAAGAAAAGCAGUCGGUUAAUACCCGAUUGUUCUGACGGUACCCAAAGAAUA